rnacentral:rRNA from 1 species
CGGACGGGUGAGUAACGCGUGAGAAUCUGGCUUCAGGUCUGGGACAACCACUGGAAACGGUGGCUAAUACCGGAUGUGCCGAAAGGUGAAAGGUUAACUGCCUGAAGAUGAGCUCGCGUCUGAUUAGCUAGUUGGAAGUGUAAUGGACUCCCAAGGCGACGAUCAGUAGCUGGUCUGAGAGGACGAUCAGCCACACUGGGACUGAGACACGGCCCAGACUCCUACGGGAGGCAGCAGUGGGGAAUUUUCCGCAAUGGGCGAAAGCCUGACGGAGCAAUACCGCGUGAGGGAGGAAGGCUCUUGGGUCGUAAACCUCUUUUCUCAGGGAAGAACAAAAUGACGGUACCUGAGGAAUAAGCAUCGGCUAACUCCGUGCCAGCAGCCGCGGUAAUACGGAGGAUGCAAGCGUUAUCCGGAAUGAUUGGGCGUAAAGCGUCCGCAGGUGGCGAUGUAAGUCUGCUGUUAAAGCGUCUAGCUCAACUAGAUAAGAGCAGUGGAAACUACAUAGCUAGAGUGCGUUCGGGGCAGAGGGAAUUCCUGGUGUAGCGGUGAAAUGCGUAGAGAUCAGGAAGAACACCAGUGGCGAAGGCGCUCUGCUAGGCCGCAACUGACACUGAGGGACGAAAGCUAGGGGAGCGAAUGGGAUUAGAUACCCCAGUAGUC